GCGAGUGGUGAAAUUGGCAGACACGCAGGAUUUAGGUUCCUGUGCCUUCGGGCGUGUGGGUUCAAGUCCCACCUUCCGCACCA
rnacentral:tRNA from 1 species